rnacentral:guide_RNA from 1 species
AUAAUAAACAGUAUAAGACGAUAGAUGUUCGAGAAUAUGAUUUAAU